rnacentral:rRNA from 1 species
AUGGCGGAUCUCGCCGCCGCGCCGCCGCCGCGCGCGCCCGCCCCGCCGCAGCCGGCGGCGGCCAAGGACCUCUUCGGGGAGACGAUCGAGGCGCACCCGCCGUGGUUCCGGCCGGAGGCCUUCCUGCGCGCGGGCUUCGACCCGGACGCCUACGUCGCCGAGCUGCGCUCCUACGUGCCCCUCGAGAGCCUCGCCGCCGAGCUGCGCUCCCACCUCGCCGCCCUCCGCGCCGAGCUCGUCGGCCUCAUCAACCGCGACUACGCCGACUUCGUCGGCCUCAGCGCCCGCCUCAAGGGCGUCGACGCCGCCGCUGCCCGCAUGCGCGCCCCGCUCGCCGACCUCAGGGACAAGGUCGCCGCCUUCCGCGCCGCCGCCUCCGCCGCGCUCGCCGCCCUCCGCGCAGGGCUCGAGCAGCGCGCCGCGGCGACCCAGGCGCGCGAGCUCCUCGAGCUGCUGCUAGACACCUCCCACGUCGUCUCCAAGGUUGAGAAACUGAUCAAGGAAUUACCAACAGCACCAUCUGAUUCAUCAGAUAUUGAAGAUCGUUCAGUUGAUAAGGGCUACCCUGGCAAUGAUACUACGUCACCAAAUGUGGAGGCAGGGACAGAUGUCAGAGAAACACAAAGCAUUCUGUUAGAAAGAAUCGCAAGCGAGAUGAACCGACUCAAAUUUUACAUCAGCCACGCACAGAACCUUCCUUUUAUUGAGAACAUGGAGAAGAGGGUCCAAGGUGCUACAAAACUACUUGAUGGUAGCUUGGAGCGUUGCUUUGUGGUUGGUCUAGAACAUCGGGACGCAAAAGUAAUAUACAACUGCUUGCGCGCUUAUGCUGCCAUUGACAACACAUCUUCAGCUGAAGAGCUUUUCCGUACAACAGUGGUCUCCCCAUUGAUUCAGAAAAUUGUCCCUCAAAACUAUGCAAAAGCUGUUUCUGGGGUAUCUUCUGAUGACCUGGAGGAUGACUAUGAGCAGAUAAUGCAAUGUGUAGAAAAAGAUUGCAAAUUUAUUUUGGAAAUAUCUUCAUCAGCAAACUCUGGACUUCAUAUUUUUGAUUUUCUGGCCAAUUCAAUACUCAAGGAAGUCCAUUCUGCAAUCAUGAAGGGAAAGCCUGGGGCCUGUUCUCCUGGAAAACCUAAAGAGUUCCUGAGAAACUACAAAGCGAGCUUAAAGUUUCUUGACUUUCUUGAAGGCUACUGUCCUUCCAAGUCUGCUAUAACAAAGUUCCGCUCUGAGCCUGCUUACACAGAUUUCAUGCGACUGUGGCAUGUUAGUGUCUACUUUUCACUGAGAUUCCAGGAAAUUGCUGGUGGUCUUGAUGGUGCUCUUACAGCCACAAUUAGCCCUGUCGGAGUGAAUGAGAACCAAAUGAAGCAGAAGACAUUAUUGUUGAAGCAAAGUAUUAAGCUAUUAGAAAGCUUGCAGUCCUGCUGGAGUGAUGAUGUUCUUGUUUUCUCUCACUCUGAUAAAUUCCUCCGAUUGUCCUUGCAGCUUAUUUCAAGGUAUACAACAUGGCUUUCUUCUGGUCUGGCUGCACGUAAUGCUUCUGAUGGGAGCUCGAGUUCUCCUGCAGAUUCUGAGUGGGCACUCUCUGUACCUGUGGAGGAUUUCAUAUAUGUAAUGCAUGAUGUAAAUGCUGUAAUUGGCGAGCUUUCAGAAUCAGGCGACUUUGUGGGACGUGUGAAUCAAUUGCUAGCAUCAUGCCCCAUUGAAGUACUUACCCUUGUGAAACAAAGUAUAUUGCAAGCUGUUGAGCCUUUGAAGGAGUUGUUGCCUAGCAUAAUGGAUGUCAUGAUUGGGGUCAUAGUGAAAAGGUCUAAUGAGGAUCUGAAACACCUGAAGGGAAUAACAGCCACGUAUAGGAUGACCAAUAAACUUCCCGUGAGGCAUUCUCCGUAUGUAUCUGGGAUUUUGCAUCCACUUAAGGUGUUUCUUGAAGGAGAUCGUGUGCACUAUUUAUCAGAAGAUGAUAAAACUAAGCUGCGCCGUGGUUCGACAGACAAGAUCACGGCAACUUAUUAUGACAUGGUAUCCGAAGUAGUCAAUGUGGCAAGGAAAACUGAAUCUUCGUUGCAAAGACUGCGCCAAGGACAACAGAAACGAAUAGGAGGUAGUACUGAUGCCUCAGAUAACAUCAUAUCUGACACCGACAAGAUCUGCAUGCAGCUAUUCCUUGAUAUUCAGGAAUAUGCGCGGAACCUUCGCACCCUGGGAAUAGACGCGAGAGAAAUCGAAUCCUACAGAUCUCUCUGGCAGUGCGUCGCCCCUAAAGACAAGCAAGAUAGCAUCCAGUUUUGA